rnacentral:misc_RNA from 1 species
AAGACUAUAGACCUGCGGAGUACCUGCGGAAGGAUCAUUACCGAGCUCGUGCCCUUCGGGGCAGAUCUCCCACCCGAUGUCAUGACUACGAUGUUGCUUUGGCGGGCCGCCGGGCCCUGCCCGCCAGAGGUCUCCUAGACUCUGAAUAUUAGUGUCGUCCGAGUAUCACAGAAUAGUCAAAACUUUCAACAAUGGAUCUCU